UACGGAGGGUGCGAGCGUUGUCCGGAAUCAUUGGGCGUAAAGGGCGCGUAGGUGGCCCGGUCAGUCUUUGGUGAAAGCGCGGGGCUCAACCCUGCGUCGGCCAGGGAUACUGCCGCGGCCCGAGCACUGUAGAGGCAGGCGGAAUUCCGGGUGUAGCGGUGGAAUGCGUAGAGAUCCGGAAGAACACCGGUGGCGAAGGCGGCCUGCUGGGCAGUUUGGCUGACACUGAGGCGCGACAGCGUGGGGAGCAAACAGG
rnacentral:rRNA from 1 species